UACGUAGGGGGCAAGCGUUGUCCGGAUUCAUUGGGCGUAAAGAGCUCGUAGGCGGCUUGGCAAGUCGGGUGUGAAACCUCCAGGCUCAACCUGGAGACGCCACCCGAUACUGCCAUGGCUAGAGUCCGGUAGGGGACCACGGAAUUCCUGGUGUAGCGGUGAAAUGCGCAGAUAUCAGGAGGAACACCGGUGGCGAAGGCGGUGGUCUGGGCCGGAACUGACGCUGAGGAGCGAAAGCAUGGGUAGCGAACAGG
rnacentral:rRNA from 1 species